GUGACUUUGGUGUAAUGGUUUGCAUCACUCCCUGUGAAGGAGAAGGUCAGGGUUCAAAUCCCGAAGUCACA
rnacentral:tRNA from 1 species